GUGACGUGGCACAGCUUCUGAUUGGCUGCAGGAAGCUCCUGUAGCCAAUCAAAAGCCGUGGAUGCCUCUGGGCGCCGCCCCUUUCUUCCCACUGAGGCGGCCAAUGGGAGGAAGCAGCCGAGUGGGAAGGAAGCGGCAGCAGCGAGGAGGCUGCCUCCACCGCCCAGGUCAGCGGCAUGGGCUCUGUGACAAGAUGGAGGACACCGACACUGCCAAAGAGGAGCAAGUAAUCUGUUGGAGGCCUCAUGUUGGUGUUGGGCAAAGACAAAUACGUUCUAGAUGAACAAUUAAGGGAAAGAAAGAUCCUCCGUUCUUUGUUUUCACCAUGGCUACCUCAGAGGAGAAUUCUCAACCCUACACAGAAAGGCAUGAUGGUGCGUCGUUCCUCUGAGACUCUUUACAGCUCCCAUUGGAUUUUUACAGCAGAAAAAAUAACCCUUCUGGGGAAGGAGCUUGUACUACUUCUGAAUUGGAACUGGAUUCACCUAACCCAGUGCACUAGUGGAAGCCAGCAUAAGGACUCCUGCCAGCUCAACAAGACCACUCCCUCCUCCCAC